GAACUUUGAAAUAGCUGAACAAAUUGUUAUUCAAUAACAAGUCUUCUUGUAUUCUAUACUGCACAAUAAUGUAAUGAUGAAAGGGUACAACGCUUUCAAGGUUCUACGAUAUAUUCAAUUGAAUAAUCAAGAAUUAAUUCUACGAAUUUGCAAAGUGGAUUGUUUUCCAGAUUUAUACUGAGUGAUCACACAAGAUCUUUGAACUUCUCUUCUCGAGUAACUAUCAAAGUUAUACUUUGAUAUACCCAGGUGUAUCAGAUAACCGUAAAGAUUAAAUCAUACCCCUCUGUAAGUAUAACAAGUGAUCAACUUAUUAUACCCUAUAUUAUGCAUAAUAUUUAAGUCACGCGCAAUGAUCGAAUAUACGAUUUAAUGAUAUUCCCUUUUUAUAAAAGGUUGUUCUUCUCAGUCUCAG
rnacentral:lncRNA from 1 species